UUUUGUGUGUACAAAACAUUCGUUAUUUUUAAGAUUUGAUAUUAUGUGUAUGAAUAACAUAUUAAAAUGUGCACAAAGAACAGGAUAAAUUGAAAUAUGUAUAACGUUUGAUAAACGUUAUAACCCUAUAAAUUACUUUUAGACCAUUUAAAUAAUCUUAUUACAUAAUUUUCUGCAAUUUUAAAGCAAUUUCAUGUAUUUUAAGUAUUCGGAAAACUGUUUCUAUCCGAUCAAAUUGUUUCACCACCGAAAAUUCCCGAAGUUGUGUUCGGCUCGUUCGGGUACCCACAUAGAAAAUGGAGUUUAAGCAAAGCAACCAAAGCAGCUAUUCGCCAUCGUUGAUGGGCGCACAACGACGGUUUGGAGCUGGGUGUAGUACAUUUCUCGGGGAAAACGUGUAUUUUUGUGCUUAAUGAGAGCAAAAAGUACGUCGAGGUGAAACCGAAAUCGUAUCCAAAACGUUUAAAGAGUUCACAAGAUGUCAUCAGCACAAGUUGAUCGCUCCUCCAAAAUGGGUCACAUUACUAAGAAAGAAAAUGAAAAGUCAAGAAAGACUUUUAAUCCAUCUCAUAAAAAGCACAAGCAUGAAGAUAGUCGGCAUUUUAAAUUUGGAAGAAAACGUUUGCAAAGUUUCACCAGCAAUGGUAAAUUUUUUCCACCGUAUAAGCGUAGAAAGAAGGAGGGUGUGAUUAUUCCACCGACAAAAUUUUUACUUGGUGGCAACAUAUGUGAUCCGUUAAAUUUAAAUAGUAUGCAAGAUGAAGAAAUAAAUAGAGCUAUGAAUGCAGUUACACCUAAGUCUAGCCCUUUACCAACGCCUAAGCAUAAAAAGGAGGUUAUCGAAGUGAUAAUACCACCAAAUAUCUGUGAUCCUUUGAAUUUAAAUAAUUGUAACGAUAAUGAUAAUGAUGAAUAUGAGAAACAACUUAUAUCUCCAACAAAGAAAGGUUCUAAACGCAGAAACAGGAAGAAAAAACGAGCAUCUUCAGGUUCUGGAAAAGAUGAUGUAAGCGAAUCAGCUGAAACCACAUCUAAAGAGGCUGAUACAAUUGAUGUUACAGAACCCAUGGAACAAGGUGUAUCUGAAAGUAUGGAGACAGAACAACAACAGGCACCGUUAAAUUCACCUCCACCCAAUCAGCCUAAGGAAUCUAAACCAGAGAGUCCACAGAAAGACAAAAAUAAAUUACGUUUAAAGGGUUUAGAAGAACCUAAGGAUAAAAGAUUAAGGAAGGUGGAUACUAAAGAUAAAAUUGUUAGCCCUGUUAUUCCUCAACCUGGAGCAUGGAAAUCCAGACCUCAGCAUCGGCCGAGUCAAGAUAAGAAAAAGAAACAAACAAUGCCAAACUUUAGAGAGAAGGAUGCACAUUACCAAUACGGCAACUACAAUAGGUACUAUGGGUAUCGUAACUCUUAUCACGAAGUGGACACAAGACUGACAAUAUUUGCACAACGCAAAUAUUUAUUCGUCGGGAAAGAUGUACUUGAUAUUGGUUGCAACAUUGGUCACAUUACCCUUUCUGUUGCUCGAGAUUUUUCAGCCAAAAGUGUAACUGGUAUUGAUAUUGAUCGAACACUCAUCAAUAUUGCUAGAAAAAAUAUCAAACACUAUGUUAAUUGUGUACAGUCUCCAGCCAGGAACGAAAACAAUGAUCAUCAGGAUGUAAAUUUCUUCCCGAUAUCUAUGCCAAUCAAUUACGGUCCGGUUGAUAUUCCAGGUUUUACAAAGAAUAAAAGUCAUAAAGGUUUUCCUUAUAAUGUCACGUUCGUGCAGGGUAACUACGUGCUCGAGGAUGAUACUCUACUAUGUACGGAGCAACCACAGUUUCAUACGAUUCUCUGUUUGUCUUUAACUAAAUGGAUUCAUUUAAAUUUUGGAGACGCAGGUUUAAAGCAGGCUUUCAAACGCAUGUAUGCACAAUUACGACCGGGUGGAGUUUUAAUAUUAGAACCGCAAGGUUGGAGUAGUUACACAAAGAAAAAGAAUCUUACAGAACGGAUAUACAAAAAUUAUCGAAGUAUCGAAUUUCGACCCCACAAUUUCACGCAGUAUUUAUUAUCGCCCGAAGUCGGAUUUUCUAAAUGCGAGGUUCUGUCGAUUCCUCCACAUCCGUCGAAAGGAUUUCAACGACCGAUUCAAUUGUUCACCAAAGCUGGCCCUUUUCAAGAAUCUCCGGAUAAUUCGAUCUUAAACUCAUCCAAGCGGCAAGAUCGGAUAGACGAGAAGACGAGGGAAUUUGAACGAAAAGAAUACGAGAAAGAGCUGUUCAAGAAAGAGGAAGUAAAACAAGGAAACUUGUCGGAGAUCAGUCAACAAAGUAACGAGUCCAUGAGUCAAUACGAUCAACUGGAAAAUGUUUAUGCUCCCAGUUCGACGCCCUGUUACGACGAUACACCUGGUCAUAAUAGCGACAAUCAACCACCUGACGCUUCGAAGAUGUGUUACCUGGACGUUAACAUGGAGAACGAUAAAACAGAGGUCGAAAAUCAACUGGAAUCAAACGUAACGACCGCUACAACUGUUUCAGAAAUUGCACGUCAAAGCAAUGAAUCGUCGACUGAAAAUCAUACGUCCAGAAAACGGAACAUCGACGUGGCGGUGGACAACACGUGCACGGUAGGUGUAAAAAGGUCGAAAGUGCAGGAUGAAACGUCUGAUGUAAAGGACAAUCAAAGGACAGUAGAAAUUCAGAAUGAUAAAACAUCACGGGGAUCGGUUUCUAUAAAUAUCAGUGAGAGCAAAAGUGACCAUGAAUCAAACAUUCAAUCAGUGAAUGAUGAAACAUCAAGCAUUCAUUUAAAGGAAAAUAAGGAUAUCAAUGGAGAAGUACAGACAGCUAAGGAUUGCACAGAAAACGGAGAAGACUCGAGGACAGCAGAGGGACAUGAAGAAAAUGGAUCCAGGAGUCCGUGUAUAAAGGAGCAAACAGAGACGCAACAUUGCGAAUUGAUCCCAGACAACACGUAAAUCGGUACUUUCGACGUCUUCUGCGUAGAAAAUGAGUGGUGCUACCAAUACAAACUCGGGCUGUCUGGAUAUCCAUUUGCUUGUCCGACCUUUCCUUUGUUAUUCGUCUUUCCAUUUUUUUUUCUUUUUUUUUUUUCUUAACAUCUUGAAGAAGGACAUUGAACGGAAUUGGUUGUCUUUCCACUAUUCCAAGCAGAAUCGUUUAGAAAUCUCAGCAGCAAUUACAUGGUUGUUCGCGGUAUCGAUGCAACACAGCAAUUUAGACAAAUAAGAUGAAUAGACUGCUAAUUCGUUUUUAGAUUUCAAUAAUCAUUAGCGUGUAGUCCCAUUGCUCGAUUUCCAUUCGUGUUUUAUCUUUUCUUUACAUUUUGCUUUUCCUUUUUUUUUCUAAACAUUUCUAAUUCGAGUUCUUUGUAGAGAUACCUGGUGAGAGUUUCAGUGUAUUGUAAUUAGCAUCGGCGCGUCUGAAAUUCAAUCUCGAAUACGAAGGGAGACUGGCAAGCGUAUUAUUUAAAGAGACUCAAGAAGGAUGAUAAAUGAAAAAUAAUAAAUAAAAGCACUGUACACAACAGAAAUUGUAUCGCUUUACGUAUAAUAGAUUUGUACGAAUGUGAUAACGUGUAUAUGUGAACUGUGCCUGAACGCUUGCAGAGACAAGAAACGAAGGAGCGAAGCGAACGUGUACGACGGUGGAUGGACGAAACAAAUUCUAACGGGUUAGUCGACCAAAGACUGACUUUACAAUGUCUUUCGACGAUGCUGUAAAAAAAAAAAGAAAGGAACACACGAAAUGGCAAAGAAACAGAAAGAAGAAUGUGUGGUGAAAAGACACGUACAGGUUGUGUUUCGGGACACAAAACUGUUCGAUGCUUCGUGUUUUACCUUUGUACAAAGAGAACAAAUAAAACAGGACAAUUAGCACCGACAGUUUCUCUUCGAAACUUAUGCUAGAACAGAAUGAGAGAGAAUGAGAGGAAGAAAUGAGGAUUAUGAAUAUUAUUAUUAUUAUUAUUAUUAUUAAUAAUAUUAUAUUAAUUGUAUCGAUAGAUUGGUAGGAACAUUGUCUGCUUCUUUAUUGUUGAAUGUUUACUUUGGAACUGCGGACAGUGUUCUUCGAAGUCAAAAGACAAUAUCUUAACACGUUGAUUGCCAUGGUGUGAAAUAGAGGGGAAAUUCUCAGCACUAUUAAAACGACUAAUUAGUAAUUGGGAAUAGAUACAGAUAGUAUUUUAAAAUAAUGUGAUAGCAUUAAUAAAAAGGAACCAAAUGAAUUUUUUAUAAUAAUGAUAGCUGAUAAGUGCCCUCAGUGUAAUAAUGGCUACUUCAACUAUGCCAGUCAACGUGUUAACAAUCUACAAAACCUAUUAAUUCUUUUUUUUUUUUUUUAAUUUACUACUUUUGUUUACGUUCGUUUACUUUUGGUUGCAGGAAAAGAGUGUGCGAGAGAGAAAUGUGUAGAGACGUAUCCAGUGUUGUGUUUCAGAAAUGGAUACGUAAGAAUUAUAUCGGAGUAUUGAAUUUCGGCCUGACAAUUUCACGCAGUAUUUAUUAUCUUCCGAAGUCGGAUUUUCUAAAUGCGACGUGGUGCUAUUUAUUACCCCACACCCGUCAGAAGGAUUUCAAGAACCAUUUCAAUUGUUCACCAAAGUUGGCCCUUUCCAAGAAUCUUCAAAUAAUUCCAUCGUAUUAUACAGAGAAAGAAAGAAAGAAAGAAAGAAAGAACGAAAAAGCGUAUGAGUGGAGAUGAGAGUGGAUCAGCAUCAGAGAUAGAAAGAAAGGAAACGUGGCGGGAAAAUGUAAACGUCGAUUGGGAAACCUUAGAGACUGUAGGACUUGUAAAUUUCUGUAAUUUUAGAGAAGUAUUGUUUCAUAUAAUUGUUAUUUAUUUAUAUAAUGCCGAGAUCUUCGAAUUUGUUGAUAGAACACGGACCGAUCGGAGUAGACGAAAGUAUUAUUAUUAUCGUUGAGCGUCACUCGUUACACGUAAGUUGACACACAACAAAACACACACGUACACCGAGGAUUUUUCAAUGUACAAAAGAAUAAGGAAAGAAAAGUUCCUCGGCAAUGAUAGGUGAAAAAGAAAGGAAAAGUGACGAAAGCUUCCAAGCACACGUGCAUGGUCAGGCGGCUUUCCUCCUUCUAAUUUAAAUCUAGUCCGUAUGAUCAUCGAGGAAGAAUGGAGUUAUUCUUACGCAAAAUGUCACUUCUUACUCGAGCGAAAGAAAACGAAGAGAAGAAAAGAAAAAAAGAAACCGAAGAACGUUGUUCUUGAUCCGGUGAACUUUCUCGCACGCUCUGAAACAACAUUUCUGUUCGAUUGAAAUGUUUCAUGCGCUCAUUAUCUAUGCGUAUCUUUUGAUUAGUGUUUUGUACCGUUACUUGAACGCUGACGAAACAAUUGAUAAAUCGUUACGAAGCGAAACUUGGCUAAGAGAAAAAAAAAAAAAGAAGAACGCGAUAAGAAAAUUGUUUCGUCUUUGACGCUUUGAGUUAAUUGGUUUUUCUUUAGAUGUAACCGUGA